CCUACGGGUAGCAGCAGUGGGGAAUAUUGGACAAUGGGGGCAACCCUGAUCCAGCCAUGCCGCGUGUGUGAAGAAGGCCCUCGGGUUGUAAAGCACUUUCAGUGAGGAAGAACGCCUGGUGGUUAAUACCCAUCAGGAAAGACAUCACUCACAGAAGAAGCACCGGCUAACUCCGUGCCAGCAGCCGCGGUAAUACGGAGGGUGCGAGCGUUAAUCGGAAUUACUGGGCGUAAAGCGCGCGUAGGUGGCUUGAUAAGCCGGUUGUGAAAGCCCCGGGCUCAACCUGGGAACGGCAUCCGGAACUGUCAAGCUAGAGUGCAGGAGAGGAAGGUAGAAUUCCCGGUGUAGCGGUGAAAUGCGUAGAGAUCGGGAGGAAUACCAGUGGCGAAGGCGGCCUUCUGGACUGACACUGACACUGAGGUGCGAAAGCGUGGGUAGCAAACAGGAUUAGAUACCCCAGUAGUC
rnacentral:rRNA from 1 species